rnacentral:misc_RNA from 1 species
UCCCAAGCCUUCUGGCGGUCUAUGCAAGUAAGCUCUCAUCAAAAGCUUUAAGGAAAGCUCUUUGUUUUUUGAAAGGGUGCUUUUAUGAGAUAGAGCUUUUUUAGAUAAURCYKGGGRAGGUUUUCCGGUUUAUCUCGGAGGGCUUGUAGCUCAGUUAGGUUAGAGCGCGCGCUUGAUAAGCGUGAGGUCGGAGGUUCAAGUCCUCCCAGGCCCACCAAUUUACCUAUCCAUUUGCCUUUAUCUGUUUAUUUGCCGAUUUAUCGGUCCAUUGAAUUUAAGUGUUGGUAGCAGUUUUAUAAUGAUGAGAAAUCAUGCUUAUAAAAGAACUCCUUAUAAAAGGCUUGUUUUUAAAAUGUGACGCUUAUCCAUUUCGCUUAGGCAAGAGAAACUUCAAGCGGUUCAAAUACAAAAGGCUUUAAGUUUUGCAAAACACUUUGAAUUUUGCAAAACACUUUGAAUUUUAAAGUGAUCCAAGUUCGUGAUCUCGAAUUUAAAAGUUUCGAAUGCUUUAUCCUUUUUUGGGGGCCGUAGCUCAG